GAUGAACGCUGGCGGCGUGCCUAAUACAUGCAAGUCGAGCGAACAGAUAAGGAGCUUGCUCCUUUGACGUUAGCGGCGGACGGGUGAGUAACACGUGGGUAACCUACCUAUAAGACUGGGAUAACUUCGGGAAACCGGAGCUAAUACCGGAUAACAUUUUGAACCGCAUGGUUCUAAAGUGAAAGAUGGUUUUGCUAUCACUUAUAGAUGGACCCGCGCCGUAUUAGCUAGUUGGUAAGGUAACGGCUUACCAAGGCGACGAUACGUAGCCGACGUGAGAGGGUGAUAGGCCACAUGGGAAGGGAGACGAGGUCAAGGCGCCUAAGGGAGGGAGCAGUAGGGAAUGUGCGGCAAUGGGCGAAAGCAUGACGGAGCAACGCCGCGCGAGUGAUGAAGGGUUUCGGCUCGUAAAAAUCGGUUAUGAGGGAAGAACAGAUGUGGAAGGAACUGUGCAGGUCCUGACGGUACCUAAUCAGAAAGCCACGGCUAACUACGUG
rnacentral:rRNA from 1 species